rnacentral:rRNA from 1 species
CCUACGGGCGGCAGCAGUGAGGAAUAUUGGUCAAUGGACGAGAGUCUGAACCAGCCAAGUAGCGUGAAGGAUGACUGCCCUAUGGGUUGUAAACUUCUUUUAUAUGGGAAUAAAAUGUUCCACGUGUGGGAUUUUGUAUGUAACAGAUGAAUAAGGAUCGGCUAACUCCGUGCCAGCAGCCGCGGUAAUACGGAGGAUCCGAGCGUUAUCCGGGUUUAUUGGGUUUAAAGGGAGCGUAGGUGGAUUGUUAAGUCAGUGGUGAAAGUUUGCGGCUCAACCGUAAAAUUGCAGUUGAAACUGGCAGUCUUGAGUACAGUAGAGGUGGGCGGAAUGCGUGGUGUAGCGGUGAAAUGCUGAGAUAUCACGAAGAACUCCGAUUGCGAAGGCAGUUCACUGGACUGCAACUGACACUGAGGCUCGAAAGUGUGGGUAUCAAACAGGAUUAGAUACCCGAGUAGUC